AGUGUCCCUCCCAGCCUGUGAGCUUCUAGAAGGCAUUUCAACCCAGCACAGGAGCUGACACAAAUAUUCAGGAACAAGCAAGUCCUCCAAGUCUCGUGUAGGGGAAAGACCAUGAGAUCUGGAGGUGAAGGAGUGGCCCUAACUGGCCCUAAACACUUCCGGUGCCCCUGGGCACGUGGUUUCAUGGCUCUGAGCCUCGAUUUCCUCCUCUGGGUCUUCCUCUGUCACCCAGGCUGCAGUGCAGUGGCACAAUCAUGGCUCACUGCAGCCUCAGCCUCCUGGGAUCAAGGGAUCCUCCCACCUCAGCACCCCAAGUAGCUGGGACCACAGGCGCACCCCACAGCAUCUGGCUGUUUGUAUAUUUUGUGGACAGGGUUUCACCAUGUUGGCCAGGCUGGUCUCGAAUUCCUGGGCUCAAAUGAUCCACCUGCCUCAGCCUCCCAAAGUGCUAGGAUUACAGGAGUGACCCACCGUGCCCAGCACCCCCUUUACCUCUGAGCAAUCCAUCUCUUUCCUUGGGGGCACCCCAUGAUCUAGACACCACCCACUUUGUUCUGCCUUGGCCAAAAUACCACCUAACUGCCCCCACCUAUGCCAGGGGCCCCUCCCCCACCCAUGCUAGGGGCCCCUCCCCCACCCUCCUCCACCCUUCGCUGAGUCCCACUUGGCUGGUGCCCAGGACAGGGACAGUCCCAGCCCUUCCAGCCCAUCUCCCUACAUCAGUACACUCUGGAGAGCCAGCCAAGAGUAGAUUCUUUAUUCAUUUCUCUUUUUUUCUUAAAAAAAAAAAGUAUUCAUUUGGUAUAAAAAAUAAAUAUUUUAAAUAUG
rnacentral:antisense_RNA from 1 species